rnacentral:rRNA from 1 species
UACGGAGGGGGCUAGCGUUGUUCGGAAUUACUGGGCGUAAAGCGCACGUAGGCGGCUUUGUAAGUUAGAGGUGAAAGCCCAGGGCUUAACCCUGGAAUUGCCUUUAAGACUGCAUCGCUAGAAUCGUGGAGAGGUAAGUGGGAUUCCGAGUGUAGAGGUGAAAUUCGUAGAUAUUCGGAAGAACACCAGUGGCGAAGGCGACUUACUGGACACGAUUGACGCUGAGGUGCGAAAGCGUGGGGAGCAAACAGG